rnacentral:sRNA from 1 species
UAUUCUGCCCUACAGGGAAGGAUGAGAAGCUUCGACUAAGGUUCGACUCGAGCGAAGCGAGAGAACGUUGCCACAGGCAACGGCCCGAAGGGCGAGGCGCUUUAGCGCCGAGUAAUCCUUCCCCCACCACCA